rnacentral:rRNA from 1 species
CGGUAAACGGCGGCCGUAACUAUAACGGUCCUAAGGUAGCGAAAUUCCUUGUCGGGUAAGUUCCGACCUGCACGAAUGGCGUAAUGAUGGCCACGCUGUCUCCACCCGAGACUCAGUGAAAUUGAAAUCGCUGUGAAGAUGCAGUGUACCCGCGGCUAGACGGAAAGACCCCGUGAACCUUUACUACAGCUUGGCACUGAACAUUGAACCUACAUGUGUAGGAUAGGUGGGAGGCUUUGAAGACGUGACGCCAGUUGCGUUGGAGCCGUCCUUGAAAUACCACCCUUGUAUGUUUGAUGUUCUAACGUUGGCCCCUAAUCGGGGUUGCGGACAGUGCCUGGUGGGUAGUUUGACUGGGGCGGUCUCCUCCCAAAGAGUAACGGAGGAGCACGAAGGUGGGCUAAUCACGGUUGGACAUCGUGAGGUUAGUGCAAUGGCAUAAGCCCGCUUAACUGCGAGAAUGACGGUUCGAGCAGGUGCGAAAGCAGGUCAUAGUGAUCCGGUGGUUCUGAAUGGAAGGGCCAUCGCUCAACGGAUAAAAGGUACUCCGGGGAUAACAGGCUGAUACCGCCCAAGAGUUCAUAUCGACGGCGGUGUUUGGCACCUCGAUGUCGGCUCAUCACAUCCUGGGGCUGAAGUCGGUCCCAAGGGUAUGGCUGUUCGCCAUUUAAAGUGGUACGCGAGCUGGGUUUAGAACGUCGUGAGACAGUUCGGUCCCUAUCUGCCGUGGGCGUUGGAAGAUUGAAGGGGGCUGCUCCUAGUACGAGAGGACCGGAGUGGACGAACCUCUGGUGUUCGGGUUGUGUCGCCAGACGCAUUGCCCGGUAGCUAAGUUCGGAAUCGAUAACCGCUGAAAGCAUCUAAGCGGGAAGCGAGCCCUGAGAUGAGUCUU